ensembl:misc_RNA 7SK 7SK RNA
AGCUGUGAGGGCAAUCUGGCUGUGACCCCUGUUACCCUGCUGGUGACCAAGGUUAACUAGGCUGAUCUGGCUGCCUGGGUAGGGUUCUCUUUCUCCCUCUCAAAGCU